GGUUAAGCGACUAAGCGUACACGGUGGAUGCCCCGGCAGUCAGAGGCGAUGAAGGACGUGCUAAUCUGCGAUAAGCGUCGGUAAGGUGAUAUGAACCGUUAUAACCGGCGAUUUCCGAAUGGGGAAACCCAGUGUGUUUCGACACACUAUCAUUAACUGAAUCCAUAGGUUAAUGAGGCGAACCGGGGGAACUGAAACAUCUAAGUACCCCGAGGAAAAGAAAUCAACCGAGAUUCCCCCAGUAGCGGCGAGCGAACGGGGAGCAGCCCAGAGCCUGAAUCAGUGUGUGUGUUAGUGGAAGCGUCUGGAAAGGCGCGCGAUACAGGGUGACAGCCCCGUACACAAAAAUGCACAUGCUGUGAGCUCGAUGAGUAGGGCGGGACACGUGGUAUCCUGUCUGAAUAUGGGGGACCAUCCUCCAAGGCUAAAUACUCCUGACUGACCGAUAGUGAACCAGUACCGUGAGGGAAAGGCGAAAAGAACCCCGGCGAGGGGAGUGAAAAAGAACCUGAAACCGUGUACGUACAAGCAGUGGGAGCACGCUUCGGCGUGUGACUGCGUACCUUUUGUAUAAUGGGUCAGCGACUUAUAUUCUGUAGCAAGGUUAACCGAAUAGGGGAGCCGAAGGGAAACCGAGUCUUAACUGGGCGUUAAGUUGCAGGGUAUAGACCCGAAACCCGGUGAUCUAGCCAUGGGCAGGUUGAAGGUUGGGUAACACUAACUGGAGGACCGAACCGACUAAUGUUGAAAAAUUAGCGGAUGACUUGUGGCUGGGGGUGAAAGGCCAAUCAAACCGGGAGAUAGCUGGUUCUCCCCGAAAGCUAUUUAGGUAGCGCCUCGUGAAUUCAUCUCCGGGGGUAGAGCACUGUUUCGGCAAGGGGGUCAUCCCGACUUACCAACCCGAUGCAAACUGCGAAUACCGGAGAAUGUUAUCACGGGAGACACACGGCGGGUGCUAACGUCCGUCGUGAAGAGGGAAACAACCCAGACCGCCAGCUAAGGUCCCAAAGUCAUGGUUAAGUGGGAAACGAUGUGGGAAGGCCCAGACAGCCGGGAUGUUGGCUUAGAAGCAGCCAUCAUUUAAAGAAAGCGUAAUAGCUCACUGGUCGAGUCGGCCUGCGCGGAAGAUGUAACGGGGCUAAACCAUGCACCGAAGCUGCGGCAGCGACGCUUAUGCGUUGUUGGGUAGGGGAGCGUUCUGUAAGCCUGUGAAGGUGUGCUGUGAGGCAUGCUGGAGGUAUCAGAAGUGCGAAUGCUGACAUAAGUAACGAUAAAGCGGGUGAAAAGCCCGCUCGCCGGAAGACCAAGGGUUCCUGUCCAACGUUAAUCGGGGCAGGGUGAGUCGACCCCUAAGGCGAGGCCGAAAGGCGUAGUCGAUGGGAAACAGGUUAAUAUUCCUGUACUUGGUGUUACUGCGAAGGGGGACGGAGAAGGCUAUGUUGGCCGGGCGACGGUUGUCCCGGUUUAAGCGUGUAGGCUGGUUUUCCGGGCAAAUCCGGAAAAUCAAGGCUGAGGCGUGAUGACGAGGCACUACGGUGCUGAAGCAACAAAUGCCCUGCUUCCGGGAAAAGCCUCUAAGCAUCAGGUAACAUCAAAUCGUACCCCAAACCGACACAGGUGGUCAGGUAGAGAAUACCAAGGCGCUUGAGAGAACUCGGGUGAAGGAACUAGGCAAAAUGGUGCCGUAACUUCGGGAGAAGGCACGCUGAUAUGUAGGUGAAGUCCCUUGCGGAUGGAGCUGAAAUCAGUCGAAGAUACCAGCUGGCUGCAACUGUUUAUUAAAAACACAGCACUGUGCAAACACGAAAGUGGACGUAUACGGUGUGACGCCUGCCCGGUGCCGGAAGGUUAAUUGAUGGGGUCAGCGCAAGCGAAGCUCUUGAUCGAAGCCCCGGUAAACGGCGGCCGUAACUAUAACGGUCCUAAGGUAGCGAAAUUCCUUGUCGGGUAAGUUCCGACCUGCACGAAUGGCGUAAUGAUGGCCGGGCUGUCUCCACCCGAGACUCAGUGAAAUUGAACUCGCUGUGAAGAUGCAGUGUACCCGCGGCAAGACGGAAAGACCCCGUGAACCUUUACUAUAGCUUGACACUGAACAUUGAGCCUUGAUGUGUAGGAUAGGUGGGAGGCUUUGAAGUGUGGACGCCAGUCUGCAUGGAGCCGACCUUGAAAUACCACCCUUUAAUGUUUGAUGUUCUAACGUUGACCCGUAAUCCGGGUUGCGGACAGUGUCUGGUGGGUAGUUUGACUGGGGCGGUCUCCUCCUAAAGAGUAACGGAGGAGCACGAAGGUUGGCUAAUCUGGUCGGACAUCAGGAGGUUAGUGCAAUGGCAUAAGCCAGCUUGACUGCGAGCGUGACGGCGCGAGCAGGUGCGAAAGCAGGUCAUAGUGAUCCGGUGGUUCUGAAUGGAAGGGCCAUCGCUCAACGGAUAAAAGGUACUCCGGGGAUAACAGGCUGAUACCGCCCAAGAGUUCAUAUCGACGGCGGUGUUUGGCACCUCGAUGUCGGCUCAUCACAUCCUGGGGCUGAAGUAGGUCCCAAGGGUAUGGCUGUUCGCCAUUUAAAGUGGUACGCGAGCUGGGUUUAGAACGUCGUGAGACAGUUCGGUCCCUAUCUGCCGUGGGCGCUGGAGAACUGAGGGGGCUGCUCCUAGUACGAGAGGACCGGAGUGGACGCAUCACUGGUGUUCGGGUUGUCAUGCCAAUGGCACUGCCCGGUAGCUAAAUGCGGAAGAGAUAAGUGCUGAAAGCAUCUAAGCACGAAACUUGCCCCGAGAUGAGUUCUCCCUGACUCCUUGAGAGUCCUGAAGGAACGUUGAAGACGACGACGUUGAUAGGCCGGGUGUGUAAGCGCAGCGAUGCGUUGAGCUAACCGGUACUAAUGAACCGUGAGGCUUAACCUU
rnacentral:rRNA from 1 species